AAAAAGAUAAACCCUGGUUUCCGUGUUCAACGUUUGACCAUCCGUCUUAUUUGAAAAAAUUAUAAAAAAAAUUAAAAAGACAAGUCACGCAUAAAAUAUUAAUCAUGUUUUAUCAUCUAACAACAAUGAAAAUAUAAAUUAUAAAAAAAAUUUAUAUAAGACGAAUAGUCAAAGUUGGACACGGAAAUCUAGAGUUUGUCUUUUU
rnacentral:pre_miRNA from 1 species